CAGACGUAAACAAUGUGCGUUAGGUGUGUCGGUAACCACGCGUUACUGAUGCGCCGAAGAGAAAUCGUGAAACGCACCACCUGGGAAGUACGGUCGCAAGGCUGAAACUUAAAGGGAAUUGGGCGGGGGAGCACCACAACAGGUGGAGCCUGCGGUUUAAUUGGAUUCAACGCCGGACAUCUCACCGGAUAAGACAGCUGAAUGAUUGUCAAUCUGAAGGUUUACAUGACUAGCUGAGAGGUGGUGCAUGGCGUCAGUGACU
rnacentral:rRNA from 1 species